AGCAGCCGCGGUAAUUCCAGCUCCAAUAGCGUAUAUUAAAGUUGUUGCAGUUAAAAAGCUCGUAGUUGAAUUUCGAGAUCAGUACGCUGGUCGUGCCUUUGGUAUGCACUGGUGUCACUGGUUUCUCCCUUCUGAAGAACUGUCAUGCCAUUCAGUUGGUGUGGCGGGGAAUCAGGACUGUUACUUUGAAAAAUUAGAGUGUUUAAAGCAGGCUCGCGCUUGAAUACAUUAGCAUGGAAUAAUGAAAUAGGACGUUUGACCCUAUUUUGUUGGUUUCUAGGAUCGACGUAAUGAUUAAUAGGGAUAGUUGGGGGCAUUAGUAUUCAAUUGUCAGAGGUGAAAUUCUUGGAUUUAUUGAAGACUAACUAACUGCGAAAGCAUUUAGCCAAGGAUGUUUUCAUUAAUCAAGAACGAAAGUUAGGGGAAUCGAAGACGAUCAGAUACCGUCGUAGUCUUAACCAUAAACUAUGCCGACUAGGGAUCGGAUGAUGUUAAUUUUUAAUG
rnacentral:rRNA from 1 species